UCCUAUCGAGAUGAAUUUUGAAACAGUACAGCAUUAUUUUCGAAUCACUGCUCUUUGCGUACUAUUAGCAGACGCUUUUACUGCUACUCCAUGAAUCCACUGUGAAAAGUGGCAGUAGAAAAGUUUAGACCACUAAUGAUAGAUGGUACACUCCUACUAACCAGAUUUCUUUGUUAAAUAUGUCAAAUACAUUCGUUGCUUAUGGUUGCCAAAUUAUAUUUGUACCUGAUCAGUCCACACAUUUUUUUGAAAAUUUGGGAAGGUCCAAACACCCUGGACACCCCCCCCCCCCAGAUACGGCCCUGGAUAGAAGAUAAAACAAAAAAAAAUUCAAAUCAUCACAAUAUAGCAGAAUUUGCCGUGCUAAUUUUACCAUUAAUGACUACCAAAUCCAUUUCAAUGCUAGUAGACCACUUUGAAGAGUGAAUGCUAUUCCAUCCAUAUUUUUGCAUUUCCUUCAUAUUACCAAAUAAUUACAAAACCAAAAAAAAAAAAAACCCUGGCAUAAGAAUAAGUAGUGUUUUUAUUGAUGAUGCUCUUCCUGAAACUGAUAAUCUUACAUUUGAUAUCGAGUCACAGGCUACUAGAUGUCGGAGUAUAAACUAUAAAUUGCUACACAAAUGAAAUAGAGUUAAAUAUAUAUAUAUUACAGCAAAAGCUUAAAAUGAAAUAUAAGAAACUUUGUAAUUUAACGAUAUUUUGAAUAAUUUAUACGACCAAGGCUUAAUUGAAGUUGAAUCUGAAAGAUUGAUUGAAAAUAAUUUUAGUGAACAAUAUUAAGCGUACCACAUACAUAAUCUGGACAUAGCAAUUGGACUUCUUCUGUUGAUGCUAAAAAUGUAAAUGUUGAUGGAAUAAUUGAUUAGUCACUUAUUAUCUAAUUAAGGUCAAGAGAACAUAGGAUUUAAUUUAGCUAAUAAAUUGACAUCUACUCACAUAGACUGAAAGAAGAAUAUCAUGCAAGUGAAAAUAGCAGCUCAAACAUUAAGUUCAUCAACUGGUGAUGCAAUAGAGUUUCUUAGAUUAUUAAAUUAACCCACAUUUCGAAACAGUAAAUUUUUAUGAGUAAUUAAUUUAGAAUAAUUAAACUUGCAUUAACUUUUGGUUUUCUAAAAUUGAUUAAAAUAAAUAUUUACUAAAAAAAAAAAAAUGAUUAAUCAACAAUAAAUGUAAUACUACUUAAUUAAUUAAUCUAAAUUAUUAUUGUAAUAUUUUCUACUAUGGAAAUAAUAGCCUUAAGAUUGUAAUCACAUUUAUAUAUUGUAUACAGUAUGUUAAAAAAAAAAGAAACAAUUAUAAUCAAAAAUAGUUCGCGGACGUUUCAUCCCUCCCUAUUAUUAAGAUAGGACAUUUGGCUCCCAGGAAUUAUAUAGAUUUAUUUAUAAAUAGAGUACGGAUUUUGAAGGCAUUUGCCUUUUUUUUCUAUUGCUCUAAAACGAAGCUAUGUCAGCUACAAAUUCGAUUUAUACUGCUAUACUGCUAUGCACGACAUUUUAUUUUGCUUUUUUUUUGCUUUUUUUGCGUUUUUUUAAUAUUUAUGCUUUUUUGGGCA
rnacentral:lncRNA from 1 species